rnacentral:snRNA from 1 species
GUGCUUGAUUCAACAGCACAUACAUUAAAAUUGGAAUGACAGGGAAGUUUAACAUGCUCCCUGCGAAAGGCAUGCAUACGAAGUGUUACAUUGGAAAACAAUAUUA